rnacentral:rRNA from 1 species
UUAAGCGACUAAGCGUACACGGUGGAUGCCCUGGCAGUCAGAGGCGAUGAAGGACGUGCUAAUCUGCGAUAAGCGCCGGUAAGGUGAUAUGAACCGUUAUAACCGGCGAUUUCCGAAUGGGGAAACCCAGUGUGACUCGUCACACUAUCAUUAACUGAAUCCAUAGGUUAAUGAGGCGAACCGGGGGAACUGAAACAUCUAAGUACCCCGAGGAAAAGAAAUCAACCGAGAUUCCCCCAGUAGCGGCGAGCGAACGGGGAGGAGCCCAGAGCCUGAAUCAGCAUAUGUGUUAGUGGAAGCGUCUGGAAAGGCGCGCGAUACAGGGUGACAGCCCCGUACACAAAAGCGCAUGUGCUGUGAGCUCGAUGAGUAGGGCGGGACACGUGGUAUCCUGUCUGAAUAUGGGGGGACCAUCCUCCAAGGCUAAAUACUCCUGACUGACCGAUAGUGAACCAGUACCGUGAGGGAAAGGCGAAAAGAACCCCGGCGAGGGGAGUGAAAAAGAACCUGAAACCGUGUACGUACAAGCAGUGGGAGCCCCACCACUAAGCCAGUGGUGAACUCCACAUACGCAUCCUUUGCUGAGGAUACGGUUAACGGAGCGCAAGCGACGUUCAACCGCAAAAGAAGCAGAGGGGGCUUAGUGGUGGGGUGACUGCGUACCUUUUGUAUAAUGGGUCAGCGACUUAUAUUCUGUAGCAAGGUUAACCGAAUAGGGGAGCCGGAGGGAAACCGAGUCUUAAUUGGGCGUUAAGUUGCAGGGUAUAGACCCGAAACCCGGUGAUCUAGCCAUGGGCAGGUUGAAGGUUGGGUAACACUAACUGGAGGACCGAACCGACUAAUGUUGAAAAAUUAGCGGAUGACCUGUGGCUGGGGGUGAAAGGCCAAUCAAACCGGGAGAUAGCUGGUUCUCCCCGAAAGCUAUUUAGGUAGCGCCUCGUGAAUUCAUCUCCGGGGGUAGAGCACUGUUUCGGCUAGGGGGCCAUCCCGGCUUACCAACCCGAUGCAAACUGCGAAUACCGGAGAAUGUUAUCACGGGAGACACACGGCGGGUGCUAACGUCCGUCGUGAAGAGGGAAACAACCCAGACCGCCAGCUAAGGUCCCAAAGUCAUGGUUAAGUGGGAAACGAUGUGGGAAGGCCCAGACAGCCAGGAUGUUGGCUUAGAAGCAGCCAUCAUUUAAAGAAAGCGUAAUAGCUCACUGGUCGAGUCGGCCUGCGCGGAAGAUGUAACGGGGCUAAACCAUGCACCGAAGCUGCGGCAGCGACACUCAGGUGUUGUUGGGUAGGGGAGCGUUCUGUAAGCCUGUGAAGGUGGCCUGUGAGGGUUGCUGGAGGUAUCAGAAGUGCGAAUGCUGACAUAAGUAACGAUAAAGCGGGUGAAAAGCCCGCUCGCCGGAAGACCAAGGGUUCCUGUCCAACGUUAAUCGGGGCAGGGUGAGUCGACCCCUAAGGCGAGGCCGAAAGGCGUAGUCGAUGGGAAACGGGUUAAUAUUCCCGUACUUGGUGUUACUGCGAAGGGGGGACGGAGAAGGCUAUGUUGGCCGGGCGACGGUUGUCCCGGUUUAAGCGUGUAGGUGUGUGUUCCAGGUAAAUCCGGUUCACUUUAACACUGAGGCGUGAUGACGAGGCACUACGGUGCUGAAGCAACAAAUGCCCUGCUUCCAGGAAAAGCCUCUAAGCAUCAGGUAACAUCAAAUCGUACCCCAAACCGACACAGGUGGUCAGGUAGAGAAUACCAAGGCGCUUGAGAGAACUCGGGUGAAGGAACUAGGCAAAAUGGUGCCGUAACUUCGGGAGAAGGCACGCUGACAUGUAGGUGAAGUGAUUUACUCACGGAGCUGAAGUCAGUCGAAGAUACCAGCUGGCUGCAACUGUUUAUUAAAAACACAGCACUGUGCAAACACGAAAGUGGACGUAUACGGUGUGACGCCUGCCCGGUGCCGGAAGGUUAAUUGAUGGGGUCAGCGCAAGCGAAGCUCCUGAUCGAAGCCCCGGUAAACGGCGGCCGUAACUAUAACGGUCCUAAGGUAGCGAAAUUCCUUGUCGGGUAAGUUCCGACCUGCACGAAUGGCGUAAUGAUGGCCAGGCUGUCUCCACCCGAGACUCAGUGAAAUUGAACUCGCUGUGAAGAUGCAGUGUACCCGCGGCAAGACGGAAAGACCCCGUGAACCUUUACUAUAGCUUGACACUGAACAUUGAGCCUUGAUGUGUAGGAUAGGUGGGAGGCUUUGAAGCGUGGACGCCAGUCUGCGUGGAGCCGACCUUGAAAUACCACCCUUUAAUGUUUGAUGUUCUAACGUGGACCCGUAAUCCGGGUUGCGGACAGUGUCUGGUGGGUAGUUUGACUGGGGCGGUCUCCUCCUAAAGAGUAACGGAGGAGCACGAAGGUUGGCUAAUCCUGGUCGGACAUCAGGAGGUUAGUGCAAUGGCAUAAGCCAGCUUGACUGCGAGCGUGACGGCGCGAGCAGGUGCGAAAGCAGGUCAUAGUGAUCCGGUGGUUCUGAAUGGAAGGGCCAUCGCUCAACGGAUAAAAGGUACUCCGGGGAUAACAGGCUGAUACCGCCCAAGAGUUCAUAUCGACGGCGGUGUUUGGCACCUCGAUGUCGGCUCAUCACAUCCUGGGGCUGAAGUAGGUCCCAAGGGUAUGGCUGUUCGCCAUUUAAAGUGGUACGCGAGCUGGGUUUAGAACGUCGUGAGACAGUUCGGUCCCUAUCUGCCGUGGGCGCUGGAGAACUGAGGGGGGCUGCUCCUAGUACGAGAGGACCGGAGUGGACGCAUCACUGGUGUUCGGGUUGUCAUGCCAAUGGCACUGCCCGGUAGCUAAAUGCGGAAGAGAUAAGUGCUGAAAGCAUCUAAGCACGAAACUUGCCCCGAGAUGAGUUCUCCCUGAGACUUAGAGUCUCCUGAAGGAACGUUGAAGACGACGACGUUGAUAGGCCGGGUGUGUAAGCGCAGCGAUGCGUUGAGCUAACCGGUACUAAUGAACCGUGAGGCUUAACCUU